rnacentral:rRNA from 1 species
CCCGCUAAAUUUAAGCAUAUUAAUAAGCGGAGGAAAAGAAACUAACAAGGAUUCCCCUAGUAAUGGCGAAUGAAGCGGGA